rnacentral:misc_RNA from 1 species
GUCGGUCUGCCCGUGCAGCGACGAUUAUGCAUGCGUUCCUCUUCAUAUCUAGGCACAAGUGCGACUUAGCCUUGGCCGAAAGUAAGUUUUCCUGUAUUUAAUACCUACUAGAUGGAAUUUUAUCGUCGACUAUUGAAUGAUCGCCUAAUGCCGCCCCUCGCCGGGGGCGGCGGGGACCCACAAACCGUAAUUUGGGACCCCCAAGGCAAACCAUUCUUUGCGCCAAGCCCCACACUUUUUGGUUCGAACUAAGGAAUUCAAAACAUACCGGGGGCAUGGGUUCUCAACCCUUAUUUGCAACACUAUCCAAAAACAUCCAACCAACGUUCAAUGGUGCGCUGGCCCUAGGGCCCUCCACUUCGUUGCCCCCAAGAAUGGCUACCG